CAGUGGUUUCUAAAUUAAUUUCCCUUCCUGACCGUUUUAUUCCUUCGUCUUCUACCGUAGGUUCUACCCGAUUUCGCCCCAAAUUCGCCGUCGGCGACGCCAUUCCGUCCUCACCUCACCCCUACCGGCUGCGAUUCGUCGCCGGAAUCUACUACUCCCGUGCACCGCUCCGACAUGUAUUUCGGCCCUCCUCCCCGUCUCUCCCCGUCUCGCUGGCCGUGAGCUAUGAGGUGCAGCUGUGACCUCCUUGUCUCUGAAUCUCCGUGAGGUUUUCUGCUGCUCAGAUCUGCAGGGAGGGCCCAUCAAAUCGGUGGUUUAGGCGUCCUCUUCUCCUUCCUCUUUGGUAGAUCUACGCGGGCAGCAGGUUAGUCCCUUCCCGUAUCUCGUUUGGCUUCCUGCUUGCGGUAUUGGAUUCAGAGUUCAUACUCUUAAUAUUGUGCGUCUAUUGUAUCUGAUAAGCAUGCGUUUGUUCAUACUUCCCUGUAUUUUUGUGUCAUCUAUUCCAUCUCUUUUGCAGUGUUAUUGAUCGGUUCAUCUAACUAGAUUUAUUAUGCAUUGUUUAAUGUUUGCAUGGGUCACACUAUUUGUGUUGAUGUGCAAUCUGGAGUACCCCUGUUUCAGUAAGAUGCUUAGGCCCCGCUUGGGAACUUUGCAAAUUCUUCCACCCGUAAAUACAUAUAGGGUUAAAUUUCGUGGUGUUUGGAUUCGAUGAAAAAUAGAAAUUGGUUUGCCCCGAGAGAAAACGAACGAAGCAAGGGAUCGAGGGGAGAGUAGAAAUUGAUUUGGCCUGGAGAGGAUCAUCGACGGAGUGCUUGGAGAAGUGCUCGUGCGGCCGCAUCUUGUUGAGGAGCUGAUGGCUUCGCUAAGGGUAGGCCUUCGUGUAAGCAGGCGCUGCGAACGGAGGAGCGCCGGACGGGGCAACCGGCAAGUUGGAAUCGAAGGACAUGAACCUGCUGGUGGCCGAGACCUUGGGGCUCGCAUGGCGUGCGGAGGCGGCGGCAGAAGAAAGCCAGACGGGUACCAGCAAGCUGGGUCGGAAGGUUACUAUUAGAAUUUAAAUAGAUGUAGUUUCAAGCAGAAAAGUUACCUUCAGUAUAACGUUGUGUAGCUCGUCAUGCUAUUAUCCAGAUGUAAAUUUUGGUUUCAGAUUUACCUUUUGUUUCUGCUGGAUGUAGUUUCAAUGGUGGAAAUUACUUCUCCCUCCGUCCUGUACAAAUCCAUGUCAGUUAAUUCGGGACGGAGGGAGUAUUGGAAUAAUUGGAUGUAGUUUCAAGCACAAAAGUGACUUUCAGUAUAACAUAGCUCGUCAUGCUAUUAUCCAGAUGUAAUUUUUGGUUUCAGACU